CUACGGGCGGCUGCAGUGGGGAAUAUUGCACAAUGGGGGAAACCCUGAUGCAGCAACGCCGCGUGGAGGAUGACGCAUUUCGGUGUGUAAACUCCUUUUAUAUAGGAAGAUAAUGACGGUACUAUAUGAAUAAGCACCGGCUAACUCCGUGCCAGCAGCCGCGGUAAUACGGAGGGUGCAAGCGUCACUCGGAAUCACUGGGCGUAAAGCGCGCGCAGGCGGCCUUUUAAGUUGGAUGUGAAAGCCUAUGGCUUAACCAUAGAACUGCAUCCAAAACUAUCAGGCUAGAGUCUGGGAGGGGAAGAUGGAAUUAGUUGUGUAGGGGUAAAAUCCGUAGAGAUAACUAGGAAUACCAAAAGCGAAGGCGAUCUUCUGGAACAGUACUGACGCUGAGGCGCGAAAGCGUGGGGAGCAAACAGGAUUAGAUACCCCGGUAGUC
rnacentral:rRNA from 1 species